GUCACUUUCAAAAUGGAAAGGUAACUCUAAUGUCUCUCAAAUUAGUUUCUCUUGGAAAUUGGAAUGUGUCAAAUAUAGUUAAGCAAUUUUUUUGGUGAAGGAUAUUAUAUAUGUAAGUUUGUGCAAUUUAGAAGGAUACAGGAAGGAUAUACAGUCUUUCUUUGGCUAGAAAGUUUGAUUUGAAUGAUAUAGAUGUAAAGCUUGGACCUUAAUGAACUCUCUUCCAGGAGUAAUGCAUGAGAUUUCAUUUCUUCAUGUUUCAUAAGGCAAGUCAUUCUCUGAACUGAAGUCGUUUCAGUGUUUUUAACUUAUGUUUCUAAACCUUUCUCCACAUUUCUUUACCAGUGCUUUGAGAAUGUGAAAGUGGUCUUGUGUUUUCCAGAGUCGGAAAAUGUUAAGACUCUAAGAACAGCCCAUUAAGCCCCUGAGAGUAUGUCCUUCUUUUUCCCCCCCUGGCCAUGCCAGCAGCAUGUGUAAGUUCCUGGGCCAGGGAUCAAACCCUCGCCAUAGCAGUGACCCAAACUGCUGCAAUGACAAUGCCAGAUCCUUAACCUGCUAUGCCACAAGAGAACUCCUACUAUUAUGUCUUAAUUUGAUGAUGCUAAUCAUGGCCCACACUAAAAGAAGAAAGAAUUCAGUAUCAACACAGAGAGAAGAGGGGUAUGGUAGAAAGAACAAUGCACCCUAAAUUUGGAGGCCAAAGUCUAGGCCAGUUCCUCUGGACUAAACAUUCAGCAAGUAUGACCUUUCUUUAUAGAUACAAUUAAGAGCUUGGACUUGACAACUCAUAAAGUGGCCGUUAAUUUUAAUAGCCUAUUAGGAGAUAAGAAAUCUGAGUUGUUCUAGAAAAUAUGAAUAUGUUUCCAAACUCUUCUGUAAGCUCUGGUUCUGAAUUCUAGCCAUUAUAGUCACUCCUUUUCAAUUAAGUUAUUGAGGAAUUCAGUUGACAAUGCAAAUGUGAUAUCUGGGAGGGGUUUAAACAUUCAUUAUUCAAAUAGUAUUUACUGGGGCCAGGCAUUGUACUAAGCAAUGGACUCGUGACUUGCAAAAGACAGUCCCUGUGUGCCUUUUUAAAAUUUAUAGGUCAGUGGGAAGAUAUAGGGAAAUACACAGGAAAGUCCAACAGUGUGAUAAGAACUAUAACCAGGGAUUUUUAGGGAGCUGUUGGUAUUUAUAGACAGGCAACCAGUAGACAAUCAAGGAUAUCAAGGAAGGCUUCGUGGUGGCUGUGAUAUUUCAAUGAAGACUUAAAGGAUGAGUAGGGAUAAGUCAGAUGAAAAGGAAUGGGAGGGAAAUUUCAGGUAGAGUGAAUCAAAAAUACAAAUAUUUAGAUUCAGAAAGAAUCCAGAGAGUUUGAGGAACUUGAAAGUAAUUCAGUACGGCAGGAGCACAGUACCAGUGGGAGAUGGGUGGGAAUGCUGGAGCAAUGAGAAUAAUAAUUCAGUUCCUUUGCUCUUGAGACUAAUUACUCUUCCCAUAGUAUGACUAGUGGAAGAAAGAGACUGGAGGCACGUUUGGGAGAGAAGAGAGUGCCCUGGAAAUAAUAAUGAUGAUGAGAAAAGGGAGUAGACUCCAAAGAGAUCAAGGGGGCAAAUAAAAAAGAUUUGUGAGAGAUCAAAUAUAGGGAGUGAGAAAGAGGGUCAAGGCUGAAGACUGGAGUUUUUUGGCUUGCAUAAUUCCAUCAACAGCAGUGCCAUUUGCUAAAACAGGAAGCGGAGGGAGGAAGAGGCCUGGGGAAAAGAUAAGUUAAUUUUGGACAAGUUGUGCUUCACAGGGCCAGCACGGAGUAGAUGCUCAAUAAAUAUUUAUUGAAGCAAUGAAUGCACAAGGAAAAAUGUCUAAGAGGUAUCUGGAAAUGGUUCCUAGCCAGCAGAGAGCUUUGAAUUGGAGGUGUCUAUUUUCACGUCUUCAAUGGGCAGAUGGAACUUAGAACCCUGGGUGGCUGAGAUCAUCCAGAGGAAGAAGUAUCCAGGGAGUAAGAGGGCCUGGGGUCUGAACCCAGAGGAAUACCAACACCUGAGGGCAGACAAAGCAGAGCUGCAUUUGAAAGAGGCUGAGUAGGAGGGGCCAUUAAAGUAGGACUAAAUACUAAACCUCUAGAAGUGAGCUCUUUGAGGGCAGAGAUAUUUGUUGUUUAUGUUUGGGUGGCUGCUGUGGACUUACUUUCCCAAAUUCGUAUGCUGAAGCCCUCAUCUCCAAUGUGACUAAAUCUGGAGAGAGGAAGCAAUUGAGGUUAAAUGAGGUCAUGGGUGGAGCCCUAAUCCAAUACAACCGAGCCCUAUGAGAAAAGAGAGGUCUCCCUACCAGAUGAGAACACAGGGAGAAGGCCACUGUCUGAAAGCCAGAAAGUGAGUCCUCGAGAGACCCUGAUCAAGCUGGUAUCCUGAUCUUAGACUUCUAGCCUCCAGACCUGUGUGAAAAUAUACUUCCUGUUGUUGAAGCCACUCAGUCUAUGGUAUUCUGCUAUGGGUGGUGCCUGAGCUGAACAAAGGCAGGGCCCAACACUUCACAAUGGUCCUGGUUAAUAGCAGAUAAUCAAUAUUUUUUGAGUGAGUUAAAUAAUUAAAUAAAUAAAUAAAUAAGUAAUUGAGUUAUUCUUUGGCAUGCUUAGAAAUAUAUCCGUGCCUUGAGACAGUAGGAUUGUCCCUAAGAGGUUUGAGAGGUGGGUGUGGGGGGGAGGCCACUGGCUGGCAUAGGGGUUCUGGGUGCUUCGGGAGACAGUUAUCCAGAUAAGUGUGAUAGCAAAAUUGAAGGAAGACCUGAAGAGGCACAUCCCUUUAUUUCUUUGUUUUUCUUUAUUUCUAUUUUUUUACCAUGUGACGAAGGCUGGUUCUAAAAUAAGGCCAGGUUCCUGGUUGAUUACUAGGUGUGUGUGGAUGCCUGCGUGUGUGUGUGUGUGUGUGUGUGUGUGCAAAGGCCCUCCUUAACAGUAGAUAGGACUACUUGUAUCAACUUGAAUUUAAGUGCAAUCUGGAUAUUACUCUCCACAGAGAAAUAAUACCCUAGGCAGGCAAUGAGAUUCCUCAAGUAAACAACAGAUGAAGGAAGAGGGACAAGUGUAAUAAUAAUUAGAAUAAUUGGAAGUCUUUUUAUCAUGUCAUUUAUGGAGAAAGCACUUUCUCAACGGUCUUAUGACACAUGAAAUACAGUUCAAGUACAUGAAAAUUCCUCUAAAAAUGUAAGAUGAAAGUGACUAAAUUCUAUUAAGCUGGUGAAUUAAAUCUAAGUCACUGAUUGACUCAAAAUAAAAAGUAACCAUUCUGCCUGACAACCAAAAAUCCAGACGAUCUCCAAGUUCUGGGUAGGAAGACAUAAAAUGGCAUCUGAGGUCCUGGAUUUCAUGAAAGUAAGGGUCUUGGGUUUGAUUCUUGGCUUACGAAUCAUUUAAAAUUUUUUAUUAAGCAAUAUUGAAAAAGAAGAACAGAAACGGAGGAAUUAGGCUCCCUGACUUCAGACAAUAUUACAAAUCUACAGUUGUCUAAACAAUAUGGUACGGGCAUAAAAACAGAAAUAUAGAUCAAUGGAACAGGAUCGAAAGCCCAGAAAUAGCCCCAAGCAUCUAUGGUUGACUCAUCUAUAACAAAGGAGCCAAGACCAUAGAGCGGAGGAAAGAUAGUCUCUUCAAUAAGUGGUGCUGGGAAAACUGGAAAACUACAUGUAAAAGAAGGAAAAUAGAACACUAUCUAACACCAUACACAAAAAUAAACUGAAGAUACAUAAAACUCCCAGAGGAAAACAUAGGCAGAAUGCUUUUUGACAUAAAUCACAGCAACAUCUUGUUUGAUCCACCUCCUAGAAUAAUGAUGAUAAAGACACAAAUAAACCACUAGGUCCUAAUUAAACUCAAAAGCUUUUGCACAGCAAAGGAAACCAUGAAAAAAAAAAAUGAAAAGACAACCCACAGAAUGGGAGAAAAUCUUUGCAAAUGAUGCAGCAGACAAGGACCUAAUAUCCAAAAUAUACAAGCAACUCAUACAGCUGAACAACAAAAAAUGAAACAAUCUAAUUGAAAAAUGGGCAGAAGACUUAAGCAGACAAUUCUCCAAAGAAGAUGUACAAAUGGCCAAUAGGCACAUGAAAAAAAUAAAUGUUCAGCAUCACUAAUCGUUAGAGAAAUACAAAUCAAAACUGCCAUGAGGUACCACCUCCAACCUGUCAGAAUGGCCAUCAUUAACAAGUCAAUAAAUAACAAAUGCUGGAGAGGUGUGGAGAAAAGGGUACCCUCCUUCACUGUUGGUGAGAAUGUAAGUUGGUACAGCCACUAUGGAAAAAAGUAUGGAGCUUCCUCAGAAAACUAAAUAUAGAACUACCAUAUGAUCCAGCAAUCCCACUUAUGGGCAUAUAUCUGGAAAAACUUUCAUUGGAAAGGUUACAUGCACCCCUAUGGUCAUCUCAGCACUAUUCACCAUAGCCAAGACAUGGAAAUAACCUAAAUGUCCAUCGACAGAUGAAUGGAUUAAGAAGAUGUGGUACAUGUAUACAGUGGAAUACUACUCAGCCAUAAAAAGGUAAACUAAUGCCAUUUGCAGCAACAUGGAUGGAACUAGAGAUUCUCAUACUAAAUGAAGUGAGCCAGAAAGAAAAAGACAAAUACCAUGCGAUGUCACUUAUUUGUGGAAUCUAAAAUACGGCACAGAUGAGCCUCUCUACAAAACAGAAACAGAUCAUGGCUGAGGAGAGCAGACUCGUGUUCCCAGGGGAUGGGCUGGAUGGGAAGUUUGGGGUUUUUGGAUGCAAACUGUUGUAUUUGGAAUGCAUGGGCAAUGGGACCCUACUGUACAGCACAGGGAUAUGUGUGUGACUGGGUCACUUUGCUGUACAACAGAAAUUGAAGAAACAUUGUAAAUCUACUAUACUCUAAUAAAAAAGAGAAAAAAUUAUUUAUUUAAUGUUGGAGUGGAAGGGGAAGAAAAAACUGUUGAAGAAGAUGUUUCAGAAUCUUGACUUCAUUUGGCUUCCCCACUAACUUGUAUCAUUCAGAUUUAUGUAACAUUUGAUCAUGUAAAGCCUGUUUUAACUAAAAAUGUCCAUGAAUAGAGUGUUAGUAAAAUUCUGUGGCCUUGAUUCCAGGGAAAGGAGUCUGACUGAGAGAGGGAUGGCUCUGUAUCUUGAUGCCCUGAUAAUGCUGUAUGCCUAGCAAGGGACUGUCAUGACAUUGGCUGGAAAUGGACGUGUGCUUCAAUAUGUAAGAGGUCAUGGUCCAUAGUCUAGGCCAAAGUCACAGUCAAUCUACAGUGAUAGAAAUCAGAGCAGUGGUUGCCUAUGUGGGUUAGGGGUUGGCUAGAACAAGGCAGAAGGGAACUUUCUCGAGUGAUGGAUAAACUCUAUGAUUUUGUCGAGAUGGUUGUCAUGUGGAUCUAUCCAAACUCAUCAAACUGCACACAUAAGAUAUGUGCAUUUUGGGAGUUUCCCAUUGUGGCUCAGCAGUAACAAAUCUGACUCAUAUCCAUGAGGAUAUGGGUUCGAUCCCUGGCCUUGCUCAGUGAGUUAAGGAUAUGGUGUUGCUGUGAGCUGUGGUAUAGGUCGCAGAUGCAUCUCAGAUCCUGCAUUGCUGUGGUGUAGGCCUGCAGCUGCCGCUCUGGUUCAACCCCUAGCCUGGAAACUUCCAUAUGCCAUAGGUGUGGCCCUAAAAACAAACAAACAAA
rnacentral:lncRNA from 1 species